rnacentral:pre_miRNA from 1 species
AAAAAGACAAACCUGGUUUCGUGUCCAACGUUUAACCGUCCGUUUUAUUUGAAAAAAUUAUGAAAAAAAAUUAAAAAAACAAUUCACACAUAAAAUAUUAGUCAUGUUUUAUCAUCUAACAACAAUGAAAAUACGAAUUAUAAAAAAAAAUUUCAUAUAAGACGGACAGUUAAAGUUGGACACGGAAACCUAGGAUUUGUCUUUUU